rnacentral:lncRNA from 1 species
GUACGUUUCUAAAACACCCAGCCGAACUCUCCUGCAAGCCUUUGGAAGUGCUCCACCUUGAGAAGGGGAGGAAAGUCUGGAGGAACGAGAAUAUCGCCAACUGGAAAGCUUGGAUACUUUGCUCUGAUGCAGGCUGAUCGGAAAUGAAAAUGCACGUUCUGAGGCUCACUUGAAAACUGGAUUUGUCCUGCAGGGCCUUUUUAACAUACAAGCCUCGCCCCCCCCCC